UACGUAGGGCGCAAGCGUUGUCCGGAAUUAUUGGGCGUAAAGAGCUCGUAGGCGGCUUGUCACGUCGGGUGUGAAAGCCCGGGGCUUAACCCCAAGCCUGCUUCCGAUACGGGCGGACUAGAGGUAGGCAGGGGAGAACGGAAUUCCUGGUGUAGCGGUGAAAUGCGCAGAUAUCAGGAGGAACACCGGUGGCGAAGGCGGUUCUCUGGGCCUUACCUGACGCUGAGGAGCGAAAGCGUGGGGAGCAAACAGG
rnacentral:rRNA from 1 species